GUGUUUGGACUUUGGUGUGGUGGCGCUUUAAGAGCUCAAUUUGUUGUCCAAGGAGUCUUUAUAUAUUUACAACAGUUUUAAGCCUUAUACAUCUUCAUUUCCAACCAUUGGCACUAACACCUUCACUUACCCAAUACUCACUUGAAAAAUCCCAAAACACCCAAGAAAAUGUAUCAUUAUUUACACUAUCUCACGUGCUCACAAAAAAUACAUCUGGAAGCGAACCAACCCUAAACAAGCACAAAUAGUUCACUUAGACCACAAAGUUGACAAGGGCAAGCUCUUAUCAUGUUCGACCUAAUGUUUCCCUACAAAAAUGGGAGGAAUUAAAGUAAAGCAAAUCUGUUUUGAUUUUCAUCUUUCCAUCACUAAAGGAAAUGAAACAUUAAUGGGGGCAUGAUACGUGAAAAUUGCAAACAAUUUAGUACUUGCAGAUGGGAAAGAAGAUAAACUUUUCUUUGAUCAACAACAGGAAGAACCUAAACCUCUAUUAUUGUUUUGACUCAUAGAACCAAGGGACAAUAAUUGUGAUGUCACGAGACAAAUUAAAACUUAAGUUUCUAUUGGUUCAUCAAAACGAGGCAUGGCACAUGUCUCCACGUAACAACGGAAAGAUAAAAUGGGCAUUGCAGUAAAGAAGCAUACAUUUGAAUGCAUCGUAGGCUGAAAAGAUAACAUCAUUUGUCUCCUUCCCACCCAUGCAAGGGACAUUUGCAAUAACUUCGCCAGAGGCAAGAAAACUUACCCAGCGACCACGAUUUUUGACGACGACGACCUUCGCCGGAGCCAACGAAUACAACGGCAACGCAAUAGCUUUGAAGGCGGAGAGGGAGAAUAAGCGAGAGCUACAGUGGCUCGUCACUCCCAGUGAACCACUGUAGCAAAGGGGGAAGUGGUGAGGACGAUGGCGUUUCUGCUGGGUUCCGUUUCCGGCCCCGCCGCUCGGCAAAGCGCCCCAAUCGAAGGAGUACCGCCGUGCAGCUCGCCCAAAAGCACUCUCUCUCUCUCUCUCUGUUUUCCUCUAACCAGAAGAA